GCCACACAUUCAUAGAAGUUGGAUGGGUGU
rnacentral:piRNA from 1 species